rnacentral:rRNA from 1 species
AUCGGGAUUGAAGCUUGCUUCAAUUGCCGGCGACCGGCGCACGGGUGCGUAACGCGUAUGUAACCUACCUAUAACAGGGGCAUAACACUGAGAAAUUGGUACUAAUUCCCCAUAAUAUUCGGAGAGGCAUCUCUCCGGGUUGAAAACUCCGGUGGUUAUAGAUGGACAUGCGUUGUAUUAGCUAGUUGGUGAGGUAACGGCUCACCAAGGCAACGAUACAUAGGGGGACUGAGAGGUUAACCCCCCACACUGGUACUGAGACACGGACCAGACUCCUACGGGAGGCAGCAGUGAGGAAUAUUGGUCAAUGGACGCAAGUCUGAACCAGCCAUGCCGCGUGCAGGAAGACGGCUCUAUGAGUUGUAAACUGCUUUUGUACGAGGGUAAACUCACCUACGUGUAGGUGACUGAAAGUAUCGUACGAAUAAGGAUCGGCUAACUCCGUGCCAGCAGCCGCGGUAAUACGGAGGAUUCAAGCGUUAUCCGGAUUUAUUGGGUUUAAAGGGUGCGUAGGCGGUUUGAUAAGUUAGAGGUGAAAUCCCGGGGCUUAACUCCGGAACUGCCUCUAAUACUGUUAGACUAGAGAGUAGUUGCGGUAGGCGGAAUGUAUGGUGUAGCGGUGAAAUGCUUAGAGAUCAUACAGAACACCGAUUGCGAGGCCGCUUACAAACUAUAUCUGACGUU